GCUCUGGUGGCUCAAUUGGAUAGAGCGUUAGAAUUCUAAGCCGAAGGUUGCGGGUUCAAAUCCCAGAUACAACA